AAUAAAUAAUACAAAUUAAUAAGUGUUGUGAUAAUGGAUCUGAAUGUAAUUUCUUGGCUGUACUGUAAUAUAGUAAACGUAAAUAAUAACAAUAUAUGUAUCUGCGAUGACGCGAAUAUUGCGUUUCUUAUAGUAGAGAUAUGCUUAUUUCGGUUCAGGGUAAUGAAAUAAUUAUAACGUUUAGGAAAUAUCUUAUUCUUUAUUUAUACAAUAUUUAUUUAUGAGUGAUGUUCGGCAGAUUUUUUUAUAAAUGUUUAGGCUGCGUUUCUCGAUGAUAUAUCCGUCUGGUUUCGUUAUUUAAUUUUCCGUCCAUUAUGUGUAUAUGUCACGAAACCUGUAGCAGUCACGAUAAUGUUUGCCCUUCGAAUAAUGCAUGUUGUUGACGCCAAAGUUUACAUUAAUUACUUAAUCAAUAUUAAAUAUUAUUAAAAUAUAAAUAGGUCUCGAUCACCCAAUGCAGUUGAAAAAAAAAAUUAAGAUAAUUGAAAUUUUCGGUCGUUCCCGAUGUUACAUUUCCUUGAGUAAGGUUCAUACAAUAGGUCGAAAUUUUGCUUACAUACCUAUUUCUGGCGCCCAACACGGUUUUGUAUCAAGGUUUGGUAAUUAAGUUCCUCCACAAUGUAAUCUGUUGUGCAAGGCUUAUUGACAUAGUUUUGCCCCAAGAACCUGAAAUAUAGCAGCCUUACUUAUAAAAAUCUCUGAUCAUCUUCUAAGCAACAUUCAACUAAUCAUUACUUAAAGUCUUAAGUAGUGAUUAAAUGUUAGUUAAGACAUGCUUAAGCAACGUUUAUAAGUAAGAAUUUUCUUAAACAGGCCUUAAGUAUUACUUAUUAUUUAAUUCACGUUUAUAAGUAAGGCUGUAGAAUGUAGAAUCUACAUAUACAAUUAAUGUAGAUGUAUGCGACAAGUUACUAAACUAGCGAGUACAAGUUCAUCCGCCGGGAAACGCAACCUACAAUAACACUGCUAGGGGCGGAAUAUUCAAAGUUCUAAUUGUGUGGAAAAUACGACUAACAAAAAAUCGCCCUAACUCUUUUAGGCUGUGUUCAAACCAAACUGAUUGUCAGCCACCGAAUGUGAGUGAUCGUUGCACAGUUUAUUGUAUUUACAUACUUUUUCAUUUUUUCGUUCACAUCCAACCGGCGGGGCGAUACGUUAUACGUAACAUGCAUGGACCCUGACAUUCGGCGGCUGACAGUCGAGUUUGGACUGAACGCAGCCAUAGAGCUUAUUUUGAAUUGGUAACAUGCCUGCUUAGCCACAUCGUAUAUUUGGUCACUUUAUGAAAUACGCUUUAGCUUAUUGAAUGUCGCUUGCUUGACCCCCUUUUCUGAGGGUUUAAAAAAUCCUAAAUUGACAGUAUUGGAGACGGUUGAACUGGAAUACGAUCAUUUCAUGAUGUGAGCAGAUAAAUGAUGUGGUUAAGACUAACACACAAUUAUAUUUUUGUAACAUGCCUACAUGUUACUGCUUAAUUCCUUCAUCUAGAUAUUUAUAUUAUGUUCUGUAAGUUAUAUUAAUUUAUCUUAUCACAGGUAUAGUUAUCGGCACGAAUCUUGAGCGCUGGCCUUUAUCUGCGCAGAAGUGAUUUAUUAGCAAAGAACCAAUCCCGAGUGACGGCUAUGACGCGAUGCGCUGCAAAGACCCAAUGAAUUACUUCUGCGCAGGUGAAGGUCAGCGCUCAAGAUUCGUGCCGAUGAUUAUAAUUAAUUAGUCUUUUGUACAAAGGUUGUUAUUUUUGGGCAGUUGUUACUUCUUCCAUUUUUAAUAUUGAUUUGUUUUAUUUUUAAGGGUUUAUAAGGUUACUAUUAUUUAAUGUUAUUUUUUAAUGGUGAGGAUACAGAGAUAUGGCCAAUGAAUGUGUUAUAUCGUAAUUAGUACAAAUACACUAAUGAGGUAAAAGCACUUUCUUAUUAGGUUCGUCGUUCACAAAUAACACUAAUCUCCGAUACACAGCGAUAUUUAUGUACAGACGACAUAAACAUACAAAUUGGAACGCACCUACGUCACAUGCUCUCGUACUCAAGCCAUCGAUAUUCUGUUUGCGCUAGAUGCCUAGAUAAAUACAAAUCUAGUCUUGUAUCGGAUAUUUGUGUUGCCUUGACUUCGUAGGACUUACAUCAUAUAAAUAUCCAAUCAAUAGCUAUUGCCAGAGCGGAAUAUUGUUAUAGUUACCGGCACGGAUGUCGGGCUCUCGGCGGAAGAGUGGGGAUCGCUUUGCGCACCC
rnacentral:lncRNA from 1 species